rnacentral:sRNA from 12 species
CCUUAACAGUUACAUUAUGUAAUUGACACUUGCCACGAUAAGGAGAUUUAAAUG